GGGCACCUGGCUGAGUCAGUAGAGCAUAUGACUCUUAAUCUCAGGGUCAUGAGUUCAAUCCCCAUGAUGGCCA
rnacentral:tRNA from 1 species